rnacentral:rRNA from 1 species
CGUAGGUGGCAAGCGUUGUCCGGAUUUAUUGGGUUUAAAGGGUGCGCAGGCGGCCCUGUAAGUCAGUGCUGAAAUAUCCCGGCUUAACCGGGAGGGUGGCAUUGAUACUGCAGGGCUUGAGUAAAGUUGAGGUUGGCGGAAUUGACGGUGUAGCGGUGAAAUGCUUAGAUAUCGUCAAGAACACCGAUAGUGAAGACAGCUAACUAAGCUUUAACUGACGCUGAGGCACGAAAGUGUGGGGAUCAAACAGGAUUAGAUACCCUGGUAGUCCACACUGUAAACGUUGAUUACUCGAUGUUGGCGAUACACAGUCAGCGUCUUAGCGCAAGCGAUAAGUAAUCCACCUGGGGAGUACGCCGGCAACGGUG